CUUUAGCACAGUAGGUAGCGCAUCAGUCUACCAAGCUGAAGGUCCAGAGUUCGAUCCUCAGAAG
rnacentral:tRNA from 1 species